rnacentral:rRNA from 1 species
CAGUGGGUACGGGCAGACUAGAGUGCGGUAGGGGAGAUUGGAAUUCCUGGUGUAGCGGUGGAAUGCGCAGAUAUCAGGAGGAACACCGAUGGCGAAGGCAGAUCUCUGGGCCGUAACUGACGCUGAGGAGCGAAAGGGUGGGGAGCAAACAGGCUUAGAUACCCUGGUAGUCCACCCCGUAAACGUUGGGAACUAGUUGUGGGGUCCAUUCCACGGAUUCCGUGACGCAGCUAACGCAUUAAGUUCCCCGCCUGGGGAGUACGGCCGCAAGGCUAAAACUCAAAGGAAUUGACGGGGACCCGCACAAGCGGCGGAGCAUGCGGAUUAAUUCGAUGCAACGCGAAGAACCUUACCAAGGCUUGACAUAUACGAGAACGGGCCAGAAAUGGUCAACUCUUUGGACACUCGUAAACAGGUGGUGCAUGGUUGUCGUCAGCUCGUGUCGUGAGAUGUUGGGUUAAGUCCCGCAACGAGCGCAACCCUCGUUCUAUGUUGCCAGCACGUAAUGGUGGGAACUCAUGGGAUACUGCCGGGGUCAACUCGGAGGAAGGUGGGGAUGACGUCAAAUCAUCAUGCCCCUUAUGUCUUGGGCUUCACGCAUGCUACAAUGGCCGGUACAAAGGGCUGCAAUACCGCGAGGUGGAGCGAAUCCCAAAAAGCCGGUCCCAGUUCGGAUUGAGGUCUGCAACUCGACCUCAUGAAGUCGGAGUCGCUAGUAAUCGCAGAUCAGCAACGCUGCGGUGAAUACGUUCCCGGGUCUUGUACACACCGCCCGUCAAGUCAUGAAAGUCGGUAACACCUGAAGCCGGUGGCCUAACCUUUUUGGAGGGAGCCGUCGA